rnacentral:rRNA from 1 species
AAAUUGAAGAGUUUGAUCAUGGCUCAGAUUGAACGCUGGCGGCAGGCCUAACACAUGCAAGUCGAGCGGAAACGAGUUAUCUGAACCUUCGGGGAACGAUAACGGCGUCGAGCGGCGGACGGGUGAGUAAUGCCUAGGAAAUUGCCCUGAUGUGGGGGAUAACCAUUGGAAACGAUGGCUAAUACCGCAUAAUGCCUACGGGCCAAAGAGGGGGACCUUCGGGCCUCUCGCGUCAGGAUAUGCCUAGGUGGGAUUAGCUAGUUGGUGAGGUAAGGGCUCACCAAGGCAACGAUCCCUAGCUGGUCUGAGAGGAUGAUCAGCCACACUGGAACUGAGACACGGUCCAGACUCCUACGGGAGGCAGCAGUGGGGAAUAUUGCACAAUGGGCGCAAGCCUGAUGCAGCCAUGCCGCGUGUGUGAAGAAGGCCUUCGGGUUGUAAAG